UGUGCACAAUAAGCCAAAAAUUGGAUGAAGAUAUAUAUGGGAGGUAUAUCUAAAUCAGAUCCGAUUUUCACCAAAUUUCAUAGAGUUAAUUCUUGGUGUAUAUCGGCUACAUGUGCCAAAUUUCAUCCCAUUUGGGAUGAUUCAUAUUACACAGGUUGUGCACAAAAAACCAUAAAUCGGAUGAAGAUAUAUAUGGGAGCUAUAUCUGAAUCUGAUCUGAUUAUCGCCAAUUUCAAUAGGGUUCAUCCUUGGACCAAACAAACAUUGCUUGCAAAAUUUCAUCUCAAUCGGAUAAAAAAUGCGACCUGCAUUUUGUUCACAAAGAUCGGAUGAAAAUAUAUAUGGGAGCUAUAUCUAAAUCUGAUCCGAUUAUCACCAAUUUCAAUAGGGUUCAUCCUUGGGCCAAACAAACAUUGCUUGCAAAAUUUCAUCUUAAUCGGAUAAUAAAUGCGACCUGCAUUUUGUUCACAAGAAUACAUGGACGGACGUUCAUAAAUCGACUCAAAAGUGAUUCUAUGAAUAUCCUCAAAAGUAACUAUGGGUCUAUCUCGAGUAUUUCGACCUGUUAUAAAAAAAUGCACAAAGACAUAAUACCCUUACCACUAUGUGGUGUAGGGUAUAAAAAUCUUACUCACUUUGACAUGCAAGAGGCAUUUUCGGAAAUUUUUCUUUGGCUCGACUCCUAUACAAUUGGUCGAAAUAAAAAAAAAACUGGUGCCGUUGUAUGGGGGCUGGACGAUAUCGUGGACCUAUACAGACAAUUCUCUUUCCGGGGCUAAUUACUCACAAAGAACUCUUUGUGUAGAAUUUCAAACAAUUAAAUUGAAUAAUGUGGAUAAAAAAAUCAAUAACCAGUAAAGAAAGUCCUAAAGUCGGGCGGGGCCGAUUUUAUGAUACCCUACACCAAUUUGCUAAUUUAGUUGA